rnacentral:rRNA from 1 species
AUGGCCCUGGUCCGUUUAUCCACGGUUUCUCGUGACCCUCAUGUCGUCGGGAUUGAACAGGCUGCCCCGCAUCGGUGCCUCUUCGCGCAUCUGCGGGCGUCCAACCUCACGCUCGGAAGGUUGACUGCCGCCUGCGGUAGCCGUGGACCCGUGGUCCAAGGCCGGAGGAGCUCCACCUCACCUGCAGCCGCCCAGAGUGCGCGAAGACCGUCAACAACGGCGACGGCAUCCUGGGAACACGAGUUGCCGCCAAUGCAGUUCGCAAAAGGCCUUUUUUUCUCUUUGUUUUUGAGGAUUUUGGAUGUGCACUUCAUCUUGUGCGCAGAUUUUGGAUGUGCGGUUUGCCCAGGCCGAGGGAGCCCUCUCCCCGGCUCAGUGAAGUUUGUUUUUUGCAGCUCACUGAAGUUUGUUUUGCAGCUCGCUUGA